ACACAUGGGAACCACUUGAGGAAGGCCUUCUACCUUUGGAGACUACAAGGCAUGUGUCAAUGAUAACCAUUACACUAUCCAAG